GAGUCCGAAUGCGAUUGUAUCUGUAUGCGACUCUCUCCCGAAAACUCUCAGUGCUCUUAGUGAAACUUUCACGCUCUUCGGGUCUCCGAGAAGUGAAUAUUUUGUGUUGUUGCUGCGAGUAUUUGAUUUGGCCCGAAUGCAUGAAGGAGUAGGGGGGUGUUCCCCGCUCUGCAACCAGACCUGACUUUGGCUGCUGCCGCUUGGUAACACUCGCUCCGUUGAUCUUGUCAACUUGACCAAGUUAUUUGAACUAUGCACAUGUGCAGACCAUAGAGAGUCGGGCCAUUCCAACCCAGGCCAAGCCGCCGAGUCAUUUGAAGGCUGUUUGCCGCAGUUGGGAGCCAAGAGUUUUGCUCGGAGAUCUCUGAGCGCCUAUGGACAUGGAUGUGGGGAUCUUUGGGGCCUGGCCUGGACUUAUGUUGCUGCUGCAAUGCUGCUGCUGCUGCUGCUGCAAUGCUGCGUCGACGGCGACGACGCAAAGUGAAUGUACUUUCAAACCAAAGAUCCGGUUUAAAGCUGCCCGGGCAACAGAUACAGCGCAGACAAACGACGAUGACAACGGCGAUGUUUUCACAAAAACGCUUGUGUAAUACAUAUGGAGAGGCAUAGCUAUAUGGCUAUAGCUCCGUGCAUGUCAUGUAUACCCCCGCAGAAAAUAUACACACAGCUCUCGGCCACUAA